GACGUAGGGGGCGAGCGUUGUCCGGAAUUACUGGGCGUAAAGGGCGUGUAGGCGGCUUUUCAAGUCGGCUGUGAAAUUCCCCGGCUUAACCGGGGGGGUGCAGUCGAAACUGGAGGGCUUGAGUGCAGGAGAGGGUGGUGGAAUUCCCGGUGGAGCGGUGACAUGCGUAGAUAUCGGGAGGAACACCGGUGGCGAAGGCGACCACCUGGUCUGUUACUGACGCUGAGGCGCGAAAGCCGGGGGAGCAAACAGGAUUAGAUACCCUGGUAGUCCCGGCCGUAAACUCUGGGUACUAGGUGUAGGGGGCUUCGAUGCCUUCUGUGCCGUAGUUAACGCAUUAAGUACCCCGCCUGGGGAGUACGAUCGCAAGGUUGAAACUCAAAGGAAUUGACGGGGGCCCGCACAAGCGGUGGAGCAUGUGGUUUAAUUCGAUGCAACGCGAAGAACCUUACCAGGGCUUGACAUCUGCCCGGCGGUUUAUGGAAACAUAGACUUUCCUUCGGGACGGGCAGACAGGUGGUGCAUGGCU
rnacentral:rRNA from 1 species